CAUCGCUGCAAGGGGUGCCGGAAAACCGGCUGAGAAUUAUACCCUUCAAACCUGAUCCGGAUAAUACCGGCGGAGGGAUGUGGCCGCAGACAAAG
rnacentral:ncRNA from 2 species